ACAUGCAAGUCGAGCGGCAGCGGGUCCUUCGGGAUGCCGGCGAGCGGCGGACGGGUGAGUAAUGCCUAGGAAUCUGCCUGAUAGUGGGGGAUAACGUUCGGAAACGGACGCUAAUACCGCAUACGUCCUACGGGAGAAAGCGGGGGAUCUUCGGACCUCGCGCUAUCAGAUGAGCCUAGGUCGGAUUAGCUAGUUGGUGGGGUAAAGGCUCACCAAGGCGACGAUCCGUAACUGGUCUGAGAGGAUGAUCAGUCACACUGGAACUGAGACACGGUCCAGACUCCUACGGGAGGCAGCAGUGGGGAAUAUUGGACAAUGGGCGAAAGCCUGAUCCAGCCAUGCCGCGUGUGUGAAGAAGGUCUUCGGAUUGUAAAGCACUUUAAGUUGGGAGGAAGGGCAGUCAGCUAAUACCUGGUUGUUUUGACGUUACCAACAGAAUAAGCACCGGCUAACUUCGUGCCAGCAGCCGCGGUAAUACGAAGGGUGCAAGCGUUAAUCGGAAUUACUGGGCGUAAAGCGCGCGUAGGUGGUUCAGCAAGUUGGAUGUGAAAGCCCCGGGCUCAACCUGGGAACUGCAUCCAAAACUACUGAGCUAGAGUACGGUAGAGGGUGGUGGAAUUUCCUGUGUAGCGGUGAAAUGCGUAGAUAUAGGAAGGAACACCAGUGGCGAAGGCGACCACCUGGACUGAUACUGACACUGAGGUGCGAAAGCGUGGGGAGCAAACAGGAUUAGAUACCCUGGUAGUCCACGCCGUAAACGAUGUCGACUAGCCGUUGGGAUCCUUGAGAUCUUAGUGGCGCAGCUAACGCGAUAAGUCGACCGCCUGGGGAGUACGGCCGCAAGGUUAAAACUCAAAUGAAUUGACGGGGGCCCGCACAAGCGGUGGAGCAUGUGGUUUAAUUCAAAGCAACGCGAAGAACCUUACCUGGCCUUGACAUGCUGAGAACUUUCCA
rnacentral:rRNA from 1 species